GUGCUCACUUAGCACAUAUACUAAAAUUGGAAGGAUAUGGAGAAGAUUCACAUGGCUGCUGCACAAAGAUGACACACUCAUGGACUAUUCCAUUUUUUC
ensembl:snRNA U6 U6 spliceosomal RNA